AUGGCUCAGGAUGAACGCUGGCGGCGUGCCUAACACAUGCAAGUCGAACGGAGAAUUUACGCUGAUGAAGCUUCGGCAGAUUCUUGUAAAUUCUUAGUGGCGGACGGGUGAGUAACGCGUGGGCAACCUGCCUCAUACUGGGGGAUAACAGCUGGAAACGACUGUUAAUACCGCAUAAGCGCACGGUAUCGCAUGAUACAGUGUGAAAAACUCCGGUGGUAUGAGAUGGGCCCGCGUCAGAUUAGCCAGUUGGCAGGGUAACGGCCUACCAAAGCGACGAUCUGUAGCCGGCCUGAGAGGGCGGACGGCCACAUUGGGACUGAGACACGGCCCAAACUCCUACGGGAGGCAGCAGUGGGGGAUAUUGCACAAUGGAGGAAACUCUGAUGCAGCGACGCCGCGUGAGUGAAGAAGUAUUUCGGUAUGUAAAGCUCUAUCAGCAGGGAAGAAAGACUCGUAAGAGAGAUGACGGUACCUGACUAAGAAGCCCCGGCUAACUACGUGCCAGCAGCCGCGGUAAUACGUAGGGGGCAAGCGUUAUCCGGAUUUACUGGGUGUAAAGGGAGCGCAGACGGUCAAGCAAGUCUGAAGUGAAACCCCACGGCUCAACCGUGGGCUUGCUUUGGAAACUGUUUGACUAGAGUACUGGAGAGGUAAGCGGAAUUCCUAGUGUAGCGGUGAAAUGCGUAGAUAUUAGGAGGAACAUCGGUGGCGAAGGCGGCUUAC
rnacentral:rRNA from 2 species